GCAUGAUUCAGUGUUAAAAACUAUUUUAUUAAUCACUACUUAUGAUAAUACGUAAAAUAAAAUUAAAAAAAAUGUUAGUAUGUUAGAAUUCAAGAAUGUUAAACCUCGAACGUUAACCCCAAAACUAAACUCUUCGUGUGUGUGUGUGUGUGACAAAGUCCAAAACUCCCAGUUCCUGAAUGGUUCUUAAAGUUCAGUUCCGCAAGCCAUAAGGUGAAACAUGAGCAAGGGCUUCUUCAGCAACCACCGUUGUCUGAAGAUAAGAUGUAGAUGUAGAAAAACAUAGAGAGAGUGCAUACGAAAUCCAAAUGUUCCACGAUGGAACCCAAACGACACUCCAGUGUUUACUCGGUAGUGACUUCCUCACCCCGAAAAGCAUCCGAACCGUGGUCGUCCACACACAAAUACCUGUUUCCUUCUACAGGUCAGCAACAAAGUGAACUCCACCGGAUUACUUCCAACUUCCAUACAUGGAUUUCUAUGGCAAACACAGUUAUUGUUUCUCAUCCAUCGAUAGAGAAAACAAGCAGGCUGGUGUCUCUCUCCCUUCUCUCUCCCUCUCUCUCUCCUUCUUCUUCUGACUUCUUCAACAACGUCAUUACGUCCUUUAUCUUCUAUUGACGUAAGCACGCCCCACACACACAUACACACACACUCUCUAUCUUAAAGGGACUUUC